rnacentral:lncRNA from 1 species
AUAAAUUAAUCCAUUAAUUUGAAAUUAGUUGGUCGAGAUUUAAGUGUAGAGAUUGCAAUGAUAAUGAUAUGCUUCUCCCAUAUGAAGGAAAAGAUGAGGAUUUUUGAUUUAGUGAUACAAAAUAACAAUCCUAUAGCAAUUAAUAAAGGCCAAUUUAUCGUCCUGUCAGCUCAGCACUAAGAUAAUAAUGUAGGACUUUGUUUCCUGACAAAUAGUCAAAAGAGGUUUCCUUUUCCACUAUAGAUUCUUUUUGUAAUCAAUACAUGCUCUUAUUUUUUAACCCGACUGGCAUUACAGUAAACAGUUACUUCUUUCAAUUGGUUUUUAUAUGCAGGUUUUUACAGAACCUCACUUGAAAACAAAGGUUUGGGGUUUUUUUUUGUUUUGGGGUUUUUUUCUUCAAUAGAGAGGAGAACGUGUUCCAUUAAGAAUCACUUUGAUUCUUGUUGAAAUCUUAAUGUUAUUUCAAAGACUUACCACGUUUCAUCAGGAAAAAGAAAAAACAAAGCAAUACAUUUGGACAAGUGGGGGGAUCAGGUAAUGGUAUAAUACUAUGCCUAUUUUAAAACAGAGGUUUGAAAACGGUCCGGGUUCAAAGUUUCCCUUUUCUAAUAGCAUUGGCUAUUUGUAAAGAUGAUCACUUUUUUUUUUGUUUUUGUUCUUGUUGCACAGCCUGUGUAUCAGAAAAGCUUCUUUCAGAAAUGGUAUCAUGGAAGGAAAAGCCAGAAAGUGUAUUGCUUUAGGCACCUGUGAUACCUAAUGAAGAGCCUGCUCAGCCUAACUUCCUGGAGCCAACAGAGAGAAAUAAUUCCAGAGACCAAAGCAUUCCACCUACAAUCUGAGUGUAUAUAUGCAGACGAAAUUCUGGUUGCAUCAGGCAAUUAUAAGGAAUAGCACAAAGGUUGCUCUUACCUUGUUGCCAUGCCCCUGGACUUCAACAAAGAAUUACAGUCGAGAAGUGAGAGGCUGUACUAAAUCCUUCUGCAGUUUUCCCACAGCUGCUAAUGUUGGGAACUGCCUGCAAAACAUCUCCGGACACCUAAUGCUGUGAAGGUGAACCCAUUCACAAAAACUCUGUAACAGACACUGAAACUUUCGUAAAAAUGAUAUCUAUGGUAAUCUAUUACCUUCCGUAACUUGUUACAUAUUGAGGAUUUCUCAAGAUGGCAGGGACAGACAACUCCAUCUGAUAAUACCAUCUGGUAAUAACUCCAUCUGAUUGUGAAAAAAAGUCACAGAAGAGGAAGCUACACAAUCUUUUACCAGGUAAUGGCCA